GCUCCGUUGGCUUAGUGGUUAGAGCGUCCGCCUCGAAUGCGGGUGAUCGUGGGUUACAUACACUCAUACAGACA